rnacentral:rRNA from 1 species
CCUAGUUGAUCCUGCUAGUGGUAAACUUUUGCCCCAAUGAUUACAAGCCAUGCAAGUCUAAGUAUAUACCAACAUACGGUGAAACUGCGAACGGCUCAUUACAACAGUGAUAAUUCACAUGAUGGUAACGCUACUCGGAUAUCCGUGGUAAUUCUAGAGCUAAUACGUGCCAAGAGCCCUCUGGGCGGUAUUUAUUAGAUGAACCAACGCUGGUGACUCAUGAUAACUGCGCGGAUCGCAGGGCCUCGGCCGGCGACGCUUCAUUCAAAUCUCUGCCCUAUCAAGUCUCGACGGUAGGAUAGAGGCCUACCGUGCUGGCGACGGGUACGGGGAAUUGGGGUUCGAUUCCGGAGAGGGAGCCUGAGAGACGGCUACCACUUCCAAGGAAGGCAGCAGGCGCGCAAAUUACCCAAUUCCGAAUCGGAGAGGUAGAGACAGGGCAUAACGAUGCGGGUCCCUCUGGGGCCUGCAAUUGGAAUGAGCAAUGUGCAAAGCAAGUAGCGAGUAGCAACUCGAGGACAAGUCUGGUGCCAGCACCCGCGGUAAUUCCAGCUCGAGGAAAUUUUAUCAAUGCUGUUGCAGUUGAAACGCUCGUAGUUGAGCCUUGCGCGCGCGGCGGUGCCCCGCGAGGGGAUACUGGCGCGCGCGCGUGCGCCGCUUCGGCGGCGGGUUACUGUGAGGAAAUUAGAGUGUUCAAAGCAGGCGCUUGCUUGGAUACGUCAGCAUGGGAUAACAGCCGUGCGAGCGGCCGGCUGUUGGUGGCGGCCACACGUGGUUGAUAGGGACAGUCGGGGGCAUUGGUACUUGGCAGUCAGAGGUGAAAUUCUUGGAUUUGCCAAAGACCGACCGGAGCGAAAGCGUCUGCCAAGGAUGUUUUCAUUAAUCAAGAACGAAAGUUAGGGGAUCGAAGACGAUCAGAUACCGUCGUAGUCUUAACUGUAAACGAUGCCGACUCGGGACCGGCUGCUGCUGCGAGCGCGGCCGGGACCGUGUGAGAAAUCAAAGUGUUUGGGUUCUGGGGGGAGUAUGGUCGCAAGGCUGAAACUUGAAGGAAUUGACGGAAGGGCACCACCAGGAGUGGAGCCUGCGGCUUAAUUUGACUCAACACGGGGAAACUCACCAGGUCCGGACAUGCGUAGGAUUGACAGAUUGAGAGCUCUUUCAUGAUUGUGUGGGUGGUGGUGCAUGGCCGUUCUUAGUUGGUGAACUGAUUUGUCUGGUUAAUUCCGAUAACGAGCGAGACCUCCACCAGCGUGUGCUGCGCGCCGGGCAGCCGGCGGGUGCGGCACGCUGGGACUGCGCGCGGUAAGCGCGCGGAAGUUGGAGGCAAUAACAGGUCUGUGAUGCCCUUUGAUGUUCUGGGCUGCACGCGCGCUACACUGGCCGGGACAGCGAGUGUGUGCUUCGCCGAGAGGCGCGGCCAAUCUUGUGAAUCCCGGCCGUGCUGGGGAUCGGCCGCUGCAACUAUCGGCCGUGAACGAGGAAUUCCUAGUAGGCGCUGGUCAUCAGCCAGCGCCGAUUACGUCCCUGCCCUUUGUACACACCGCCCGUCGCUACUACCGAUCGGCUGCGGUGGUGAGCCCCUGGGGGAGCAGCGUGCUGCUCGAACUUGGUCAAACCAUCGCAGCUAGAGGAAGUAAAAGUCGUAACAAGGUUUCCGUAGGUGAACCUGCGGAAGG